GGCAGCCUCAACCCUGAGUUCAGUUAAAGUUAUUUUAUGGAGAAAAUGUCCCAAGCAACAAGGCAAAGCAGCAUGAAGAGGCGAUUGGGCACCCUUCUGGGGCUUCUGUGCACCCAGGUUUGCUGUGUGAGAAGUUUGCAGGUGGAGCAGAGUCCUCCUGCCUUGAGUCUCCAGGAGGGAGCCAGCUGCAUGCUGCGGUGCAGGUUUUCUGCCUCUGUGACCAGUGUGCAGUGGUUUCGCCAAAACCCUGGGAGACGCCUCAUCAACCUGUUUUACAAUCCUUCGGGAACACAGCAGAGAGGAAGAUUGAGCUCCACGACAGUCACCAGAGAACGCUACACCACUUUGAACAUUUCAUCUUCCCAGACCACAGACUCAGCCAUUUAUUUUUGUGCUGUGGAGGCACAGUGCUCCCGGGGCACCUGCAGUCUGUACACAAAUCCUCAGCUGGGCUCACCUCCUCCCCCAGCCACAAGCACAUCAUGAGGCCACCACAGACGCAUUUGCUCAACUGAUAUUCCUCACCUACAUUGAUAGAGUUUUAACCACAGUUACAUUUUACCCACAUAGGUCACUUGGGUCUUUAUCUUUUUCUUGCACUAUAAACUUUUGAUUUGGAAAUAGCAGAGUAGCUGAUAAGAGAACUGAGUCAAAAUAAAUGUUUAAGCUACAGUAGGCUGGACUCCAAAAGGUUAAAGGUGAAAGAUUUUUUUAAAAAAGUUGACUCCACUAAAGAUGUUAUUAGAACAAUGAUCCAGCUUUGUUUCAAGUGUCAGCCAUGAUCAAGUCUGCCUCAUGCCAAUGUGUCCCAAAAGGCAAGGGAAAAUUCUUGCAUCCCAUACUACUAGCACAGUAAAGAAAAGGAGAAAAAAAAUUGCUGAAUAUUCAUACACGGAUAAAAACUAUGGAAAAAAAAGCUUUACAAUGUAUGUUCCAAUCAAUCAGAUCCCAUUCAUGUCCUUGAGGCUUGUUUUAUGGCUUAAGCAUAUAGUCUACUCUAGAGAAUGUUCCAUUUAUGGUUGAGAUGAAUCUAUUUUCUAGUGUUGUUGGGUGCAUGUCUGAUAGGUCUAGUUGGUUUGACUGUUGUUCAGGUCUUCUAUCUCCUUGUUGAUAUUCUGCCCUGUUUUUCUAUCCAUUAUUAAAAGUGAGGUAGUGAAGUUUCUGUUAUUAUUCAAUUGUCUAUUUCUCCAUUCAAUUCUGUCAGUUUUUUAUUUCAUGUA